AACGAACGCUGGCGGCAUGCCUAACACAUGCAAGUCGAACGAGACCUUCGUGUCUAGUGGCGCACGGGUGCGUAACGCGUGGGAACCUGCCCUUAGGUUCGGAAUAACUCCCCGAAAGGGGUGCUAAUACCGGAUAAUGUCUUCGGACCAAAGAUUUAUCGCCUUUGGAUGGGCCCGUGUUGGAUUAGCUAGUUGGUAGUGUAAAAGCCUACCAAGGAGACGAUGCAUAGCUGGUCUGAGAGGAUGAUCCGCCACACUUGGAAUGAGACACGGCCCAGACUGCUACGCAACGCAGCAGUGGGGAAUAUUGGAGGAUGAGCGAAAGCCUGAUCACGCAAUGCCGCGCGAGUGAUGAAGGCCUUAGGGUUGUACAGCUCUUUUACACGGGAUGAUAAUGACAGUACCGGGAGAAUAAGCUCCGGCUAACUACGUG
rnacentral:rRNA from 1 species